rnacentral:rRNA from 1 species
GAUGAACGCUGGCGGCGUGCCUAAUACAUGCAAGUCGAGCGAACAGACGAGGAGCUUGCUCCUUGGACGUUAGCGGCGCACGGGUGAGUAACACGUGGAUAACCUACCUAUAAGACUGGGAAAAUUUCGGGAAACCGGAUCUAAUACGGGAUAAUAUAUUGAACCGCAUUGUUCAAUGGUGAAAGACGGUUUUGCUGUCACUUAUAGAUGGAUCCGCGCCGUUUUAGCUGGUUGGUAAGGUAACGGCUUACCAAGGGUACGAUGCGUAGCCGACCGGUGAGGGUGGUCGGCGGCACUGGAAGGGGACCGCGGUCCUGAGUCCUACGGGAGGGCGCAGUAGGGAAUGUUACGCAAUGGGGGAGAGCCUGGCGGAGCGGCGGGGCGUGAGUGAUGGAGGUCUUCGGAUCGUAAUACUCUGUUAUUAGGGAAGAACAGAUGUGUAAGUAACUGUGCACGUAUUGACGGUACCUAGUCAGAAAGCCACGGCUAACUACGUG